rnacentral:rRNA from 1 species
AACGAACGCUGGCGGCAGGCCUAACACAUGCAAGUCGAACGCCCUAGCAAUAGGGAGUGGCAGACGGGUGAGUAACACGUGGGAACCUUCCCUAUAGUACGGAAUAUACCAGGGAAACUUGGAGCAAUACCGUAUACGCCCGAGAGGGGAAAGAUUUAUCGCUAUAGGAUGGGCCCGCGUAGGAUUAGCUAGUUGGUGAGGUAAUGGCUCACCAAGGCGACGAUCCUUAGCUGGUUUGAGAGAACGACCAGCCACACUGGGACUGAGACACGGCCCAGACUCCUACGGGAGGCAGCAGGUGGGGGAGUCUUGCGCUAAUGCGCGAAAGCGUGACGCAGCGA